AAUAUUUCGAACCGCAUGGUUCGAUAGUGAAAGAUGGUUUUGCUAUCACUUAUAGAUGGACCCGCGCCGUAUUAGCUAGUUGGUAAGGUAACGGCUUACCAAGGCGACGAUACGUAGCCGACCUGAGAGGGUGAUCGGCCACACUGGAACUGAGACACGGUCCAGACUCCUACGGGAGGCAGCAGUAGGGAAUCUUCCGCAAUGGGCGAAAGCCUGACGGAGCAACGCCGCGUGAGUGAUGAAGGUCUUCGGAUCGUAAAACUCUGUUAUUAGGGAAGAACAUACGUGUAAGUAACUAUGCACGUCUUGACGGUACCUAAUCAGAAAGCCACGGCUAACUACGUGCCAGCAGCCGCGGUAAUACGUAGGUGGCAAGCGUUAUCCGGAAUUAUUGGGCGUAAAGCGCGCGUAGGCGGUUUUUUAAGUCUGAUGUGAAAGCCCACGGCUCAACCGUGGAGGGUCAUUGGAAACUGGAAAACUUGAGUGCAGAAGAAGAAAGUGGAAUUCCAUGUGUAGCGGUGAAAUGCGCAGAAAUUUGGAAGAACCCCAGUGGCCAAAGGCAAUUUCUGGGCUGGAACUGAACCUUAAUUGUGCAAAACCCGGGGGUUCACACGGGAUUGAGAUCCCCGGGAGAUCACACGCGUAAACAUAAAAGCGCAAAGUGUUAGGGGGUUUCCGCCCUCUUAAGUGUUGCAACUAAGAAAUUAAAGCAUCCCCUCCGGGGGAAUAACAACUCCAGUGUUAGAACUCACAGAGAUUUGGGGGGGGCCCCGCCCAAACCCGGUGGAAAUUUAGGGUAUUUAUCUAGAAACGCCCUGGGAGACCAUUCUCAACCAUGAUUAGGCCUUGG
rnacentral:rRNA from 1 species